UUGAGCCGUAUGCGGGGAAACUCGCACGUACGGUUCUUAGGGGAGGGGUGACCAGUAAUGGUUGCUUUUUACCCGAC
rfam:Nitrincola nitratireducens strain AK23 contig000001, whole genome shotgun sequence.